rnacentral:rRNA from 1 species
AUUGAACGCUGGCGGCAUGCCUUACACAUGCAAGUCGAACGGCAGCACGGGAGCAAUCCUGGUGGCGAGUGGCGAACGGGUGAGUAAUAUAUCGGAACGUGCCCAGUCGUGGGGAUAACGUAGCGAAAGCUACGCUAAUACCGCAUACGAUCUAUGGAUGAAAGCGGGGGAUCGCAAGACCUCGCGCGAUUGGAGCGGCCGAUAUCAGAUUAGGUAGUUGGUGAGGUAAAGGCUCACCAAGCCGACGAUCUGUAGCUGGUCUGAGAGGACGACCAGCCACACUGGGACUGAGACACGGCCCAGACUCCUACGGGAGGCAGCAGUGGGGAAUUUUUGGACAAUGGGCGCAAGCCUGAUCCAGCAAUGCCGCGUGCAGGAUGAAG